UCUGUGUCUGUGUAUGUCUCUGAGUGUAUGUCUCAGUGUCUGUGUGUUUGUAUAUCUGUGUGUGUAUAUCUGUGUGUCUGUUGUGUCUCUGUCUCUCUGUCUGUCUCUCUGUAUGCGUGUAUGUGGAAACUCAAGGUUGAGGAAGUGUCUUCCUCUUCUUUUUUGAGACCAGGUCUCUCUCUGAGCCUGGAGCUUGCUGAUUGGCUAGGCUACAUGACCAAUGAGUCUGGGAAACCACCCGUCUCUACCUUCGUUAAUGUGGAGCUAUUUGAUAAUUUCUCUCUGAGAUACAUUCAGAUAAGAAAAUAAAAUAUGGUGGAGUUCUGUUUUACAUUUAGGAUAGUAUUCUAAUUAAAAUGAAAUUACUGAAUGCCUUCUCUUUUUCUUCUUUCUUUUUCUGCUCCUCUUUUCUUCCUCUUCCUUUUCCUCCUCUUCUUUCUUUGUUCCUCCUUCUCCUAUUCUGUUGUUUUGUAAGACAAAGUCUGUCUAUGUACCCCUGACUACCCUAGAACUUGCUGUGUAGACCAGGCUGUCCUGGAACUCAAUCUGCCUACCUCUGCCUCAGAGUGCUGGGAUUAAAGGCGCUCAGAAUGACACCAAGCUUGAAUGUCUGUCAGAGAGAAAAUGAAAAAUAGUAUAUUUGCCAUUUUAGAUCCUUAAGGUAACUGUCAGUCUCUGUCUAACUGUGGGAAGCAGGGGUUCCUUGUUCCUAGCAGUUUUAUUCUGUUAGUGAAUUUGGAUCAGUUUUUAGGAUAUAAACUAUUUUCUUUUUUUGCCUUUAAUGUUUUUCCACUCUGGGCUUAGCUCAUAAAACCUAGUUUUCUUAGCUUCUUAAUCCUGUAGUCAGCCAUUUUCUCCGUUGUUUUAAAAAGCAAGUGCUAUUUCCUCACAUUUGCAUAAUUCUCUCAAGUUUAUAAGUAAUAA
rnacentral:lncRNA from 1 species